rnacentral:lncRNA from 1 species
ACAUCCUCCAAUUGGAAUUACUCUAAAAUUCAUCUGUUUAAUAACCUUUUGCUAAAAAAUGAGUCGAAUGUCCUACAUUCGAAAUAUAAAUCAAAGUAUCAAAAUCUCACCAAAAUAAAUACCAACAUACUAAGAACAUGGUAAAAUAUAUAAUACAAAAUCGACUCAUCACUUGCAUAAAACACCGAUAUGAUAUGGAGCAUCACUCGGGCGUAACCAUGUAAGACAAGGUGUAUGGACUAAAAGAGGAAAAUGAUCUUUUGAGUCAUAUGUGAAAGAGGUUGGGGUUCGACUAUAACACCAGUUGACAAUAUGAGGAGUAGCUCAUCAUAUAAGCCCUUGCAUUGGUAUAUCCCUCACCAAAGUUGGAUAUUUUGUCCACAUUGUCAACUCUUGACACGUUCCUUUAAGUGUGGGUAAUUUUCAAGCUUACAUGUGGAUAACAAAUUGGGUGAAGUGUGAGUAUGUUUUUCACACAAAGGACAACUCGUUCUGAUACUAUGAAGAAAUUUGAAUUGCAUCAUAAAAUUAAUUGACAAUAUAAAGAGUAGCCUAACAUCUUAUAUCCUCUUGCCAUGGCCUAUCCCUCACCAUCGUGGGAAAUUUUGUCCUUACAUCAUCAACUCUCAACAAUAUUAUACAGUUACAUGAUUACGAUGUUGUGUAGUUAUAGUUGUGAUUUCUUGGGGUCAGUGUUGAGUUUGAAAGAGGGAUAAUCCACAUGUGGCUGGUAUCAUGGUCUAAAAUAUCGAUGAUAUCGAAAAUAUCGGUAAUAAAAAAACAUGGAAAUUUCGAUGGAAAUAUCGGGAUAUUAUCGAUAUCGAUAAAAAUUGAAUAAAAACCACGGAAUUGUAAGAAAAAAGGAAAAUUUUAUUGAAACUUUGCAGGAUGUUUAUUUAGUCAAUUAUCUAUUAGUUUAUCACAAAAAAUUGGAAGGAAAUGCAUUGCAUGAUGGAUUUAACUUAUUUAAGUUGAUUAUAUAGCGAGCUGGCAAACAUUGCGAGUGUAGAAAAUAUGUAGUAAUUAAUGAAAGAAGUUUAAACACACCAUAAUCAUUUAUAUAUAAUGAAUUAGUACAAUAUUUUACACUUUAUACAUUGCAUGGUAAGAUACAUGAGUUACUUAGUACCACAUAUAGUUCCUAUGAGGUUCAAAAUUUUCACUAUCUUCAUCAUCUCUAUCUGCAGAGUAAGAGUAUUGUGAAGAGUAGUCAGCAACCAUGGCAAUGGCUUUCAAGAACCAAAAUCCAAAAGUCAAUAGGAAACCGAAUACUUUGGUAUUUUUCGGGAUUUCGGGAUUACCAAACAAAUGGGAUUUGGAAACCAAUCCCAUAUCGAAAAUUUCGGUAUUUUUCGAGAUGGGAUUCCCGAACUUCGGGAUGGUUUUGGUUUGGGAUUUUCGGGAAUUUUUUCUAGCCCUACAUGUAAGUGACCAAAUAAAAAAUUAAAAAAUUAAAAACCACAUGUCAUUGACUAAAUAAUUAAUUGACACAAUUUAAAAUAUAAUACCACAAAGAAUUUGGAAUAUGUGCAAAUUUGUUUCUUGCAAAAAGAAUUCAAAACAAAACCAUAUAUAUAAAUAUUUUAGCAUAUUUUCACAAAAACAUAAGUGAUAUGGUGGUCAAGGCGUAGUCAAAUAGGAGGGGUUCGAAUCCCUCUAUGCGCAAGAUUGAGACUUUUCAUAAAUUUUCAAGUAUUUUUGGGUUUCAUAUCGCGAUAUAUUAACAAUAAUUAAGGAGAUAAGUCACGAAAUAUCGUCAUCUUAAAAAAAUGAUUGCCGAUAUUAUCGAUAUUUUGGUCCAUGGCUAUUAUAUAUAUUUGUCUACUAAUUAAUGACAUAUCAAUUUCCGAAUACCAAAAAUAUAAUUAUAUAGUUGUUUAACAGUGAGCCAAGAUAUGAAUCAAUAAAAUCAUGUCACUUAGUUUUAUUUUUUAUUUUUAACAAAAUUUGAUCUAUAAAUUUAAUAUGCCUAGAAAAUUUAUUAAGUGGACAUUACCUGAGACUGACUCUUGUUAGAACAUACUCAGGAGAGAUUUUUUAUUGUGCAUAAAAAUAGCACAUAGCAAUAUAUCAUUAUACAAAUGAGAAAACACUAAAAAAUAGGUUCUCUUCAUUUGUUUGAUAAUAUAUGACAAACGGACAUGUGUUCUUACUUCUAAGCACAAUGAAAAUCUCUAGUUGAAGGAAGUAGUCCAAUUAUUGAGCAAUUAAUGCUAGGUGCGGUGUCAAAAUUUUGUGGUGGUUUGGUACAGAAAAAUAGUGCCCGUGCUUCUCUGUCUUUGAGGCAGAUUGGGUGCCCUUCCCA